ACGGAGGAUCCAAGCGUUAUCCGGAAUCAUUGGGUUUAAAGGGUCCGUAGGCGGUCUUGUAAGUCAGUGGUGAAAGCCCAUCGCUCAACGAUGGAACGGCCAUUGAUACUGCAGGACUUGAAUUACCAGGAAGUAACUAGAAUAUGUAGUGUAGCGGUGAAAUGCUUAGAGAUUACAUGGAAUACCAAUUGCGAAGGCAGGUUACUACUGGUUUAUUGACGCUGAUGGACGAAAGCGUGGGUAGCGAACAGGAUUAGAUACCCUGGUAGUCCACGCCGUAAACGAUGGAUACUAGCUGUUGGGGGCAACUUCAGUGGCUAAGCGAAAGUGAUAAGUAUCCCACCUGGGGAGUACGUUCGCAAGAAUG
rnacentral:rRNA from 1 species